rnacentral:rRNA from 1 species
AGCCUGAUGCAGCCAUGCCGCGUGUGUGAAGAAGGCCUUCGGGUUGUAAAGCACUUUCAGUCAGGAGGAAAGGUUAACGGUUAAUACCUGUUAGCUGUGACGUUACUGACAGAAGAAGCACCGGCUAACUCCGUGCCAGCAGCCGCGGUAAUACGGAGGGUGCGAGCGUUAAUCGGAAUUACUGGGCGUAAAGCGUACGCAGGCGGUUUGUUAAGCGAGAUGUGAAAGCCCCGGGCUCAACCUGGGAACUGCAUUUCGAACUGGCAAACUAGAGUGUGAUAGAGGGUGGUAGAAUUUCAGGUGUAGCGGUGAAAUGCGUAGAGAUCUGAAGGAAUACCGAUGGCGAAGGCAGCCACCUGGGUCAACACUGACGCUCAUGUACGAAAGCGUGGGGAGCAAACGGGAUUAGAUACCCCGGUAGUCCACGCCGUAAACGAUGUCUACUAGAAGCUCGGAGCCUCGGUUCUGUUUUUCAAAGCUAACGCAUUAAGUAGACCGCCUGGGGAGUACGGCCGCAAGGUUAAAACUCAAAUGAAUUGACGGGGGCCCGCACAAGCGGUGGAGCAUGUGGUUUAAUUCGAUGCAACGCGAAGAACCUUACCUACACUUGACAUACAGAGAACUUACCAGAGAUGGUUUGGUGCCUUCGGGAACUCUGAUACAGGUGCUGCAUGGCUGUCGUCAGCUCGUGUUGUGAGAUGUUGGGUUAAGUCCCGCAACGAGCGCAACCCCUAUCCUUAGUUGCUAGCAGGUAAUGCUGAGAACUCUAAAGGAGACUGCCGGUGAUAAACCGGAGGAA